rnacentral:lncRNA from 1 species
UCCAGUCUGCUGAGAGGGCGGUGAUGAAGCAACAUAUUCUGAGGAAGGUGCGGUCGGCAGUGAGAGGUCAUAAGCUGGAGGCCAUCCUAGUAGCUUCUGUGGAGGCCUCCAUCGCUGAAGGCUUCAAAGGAGCAAGUAGCAGUAGGAAAUAGAAAUAAGCAUUUUGGUGAGCAUUCAACAGUUCAGAUAAUCGCUCAUUGAUGUAAAUAAGCGUUUUGGUGACAUACAAAAUAUGUUAACAUGUUUGGCCAUACAUGAGUUCGGGUCUCGUGGUAGCAUCAUGUUUGCAAAAGCACUGUCUUGUCUAUUUUACAUGGUGGUGUUUCUAAAUCUAGGUGCAGGAGCUUAAACACUCCCAUAUGUGAACAAAAGUCCGAACACCGUUGCACUGUUGUUGCUGAGUGGUCUACUCCGUGAUGUGAAGACGUCUCCUAGUCCUUUAGUGAAGCAACAUAUUAACGUCAGCAAAAAUCAAAGGUAAAUGCUUGUACGGUAUACCAUCAAUUUCAGCAGCAAGACGCUUUUGACCCCCACCACACCAACAUGACGAGCAAGAUGGUUGUCUUGCAUUAGUGUUUGCAUACAUAACUAGUUAGAAUGUGAUAUACUCUUCGGAGUUAUUUCCAUAACAUAGUAUAUGCAUGUAUAGCAUAUGGCUGAUAUGUUAUUGUGUUACCUGACUAGGCUGUCGUUUGUGCCACUGAGUCACUGAGAGGCAUGGGUGGAUUCCUGGAGUCGUCUUCAUCCUGUGUUUUGUGACAUUUCUCCAUCUCAUACAAGUAGUUUAAAUUAAGGCCAAGGCAUAUGAGCAUAUCCCUACCAACAAGCAAAAACCCAUCAGUGAUUUGUGUAUGGAAUUGACAUUCUAAUUUUAUAUAAAUGUAUGCUUCAGUAAAAACAAAACUUGAACCGAGGAACCAAAUUCAAGAGAAACAAAAGCAUUCCUAAAAUCUAGAAUUAGUUCUGCAAUGUUGAUAGAUAGAUAGCAUCAGUUAACUCAAAUAGUAGAGAAGUCAUUUACCCGAUAAUUUUUCAGGCCAUCAUGAUCAACAACUUGAAGUUUAGUGGCAGCAGACCGCUCCUUGUGAUCAAACAGUGUACUCGAAAAGCAUGAUGGGCCCAUAGAAUGGCGAGCACUUGCCAGAUCAAGCCAUCCUUGUAUUCAUAUUACAGUAUGGUGGGAACAGGCAAAUAUAAAUUUCACUGUAUCUCAAUCCAAAAAUAAAAAAGAAUCAGGUGCUACCUGCAAAUCUGCAACUCUGGGAGACACAUGCAGCAAAAGUACACCAAAACUGGAGAUCUAAAAUCUAGUAGUGAGCUCGUAACCAGAUGCCAAUGUGAGUUUAUUAAUGACAAAAACAACUAAUCUCAAACUCAAACUAAAUUAGUCUUCAAUACUCCGAGUCAAAGAUCAUAUCGCAUUCGAGCACUGUGAUUUACCGUGAAACAUUACUACCUACUAUUUAGUUACCAUGAUUGGAUUAUCCUCCUCUUUCUGGUUAUAAACGCAGAGAACUUAAAUCAUCUGAAAGAACAUAUAGGAGGGAUGAGAAUAGUCACAGGAAAAUAAUGCAAGAAAACUAUAUACACACCUCCUUCCUCCCGCCAGCACGGUCAGAGAGCAUACUAUGACAGCCUCAAAUCCUACAGUGUUAAGGAGAGUCACUAAGUUACUUAACAUCUUUUUUCGAAAGAAUAUUCAUCCAUGUACUGUGUAAAUAUGAAAUAACACGCAGAGAGUAAGGAGCGAAGAACGUUAACUGUAACAUGGGGGGGGGGGCAAAGUAAUUUUUUGGAGGUGGGGUGAUUCACUUUUCACGCCGAAGACAAGACACAGACCUUAGAGGAGAAAUAUGGUUGCGGUUUAAGGCGCCCAACGAAUCCAAAAAUCUAAGAUGCGAAUCGUAAGAAGCGACUAACAGAUCCAAUAAAUGUGAAGCAGAAGGAACUAGAUCUGCUAGAAGGACAAAGUAUCGGGAAAAAAGAAAACAUGCCUUUUUCUAACCUGGCAAAAACGUAGGAAGACGAAGUGGCUACAGAUAGACAAGACGGAGGGAGUAAGGACGAAGAGGAGCGUGGCAGAAAGAAUAAUGAGAGGCGAUUACAGUGGAAGACUACUGGUCGACCGAUGCAAGCUGCAGAGGAUCGACGGAGGGAGUGAGGAGAAAGAGAGACAGAACAAAACGAGCGAGGGUGGGUGGGAAGUGAGGAGGAAGAGAGACGGAGCAAAACGAGGGUGGGUGGGAAGUGAGGAGGAAGAGAGACGGAGCAAAACGAGCGAGACGAGGCUGACGCUAGCGUCACUUGGAAGUCUCUAGAGGCGAUAAGUACGAGGGGCGUAUGAGAGAGCAAGGAAGAUGGACUAAUGAUCCAUCAUCGAACGGCUACAAAGUUUU